rnacentral:rRNA from 1 species
CUACGGGCGGCAGCAGUGAGGAAUAUUGCACAAUGGGGGGAACCCUGAUGCAGCAACGCCGCGUGGAGGAUGACGCAUUUCGGUGUGUAAACUCCUUUUAUAUGUCAAGAAAAUGACGGUAGCAUAUGAAUAAGCACCGGCUAACUCCGUGCCAGCAGCCGCGGUAAUACGGAAGGUGCAAGCGUUACUCGGAAUCACUGGGCGUAAAGGACGCGUAGGCGGGUUGGAAAGUCAGGUGUGAAAUCCUACAGCUUAACUGUAGGACUGCACUUGAAACUUCUAAUCUAGAGUAUGGGAGGGGGAGAUGGAAUUAGUGGUGUAGGGGUAAAAUCCGUAGAUAUCACUAGGAAUACCUAAAGCGAAGGCGAUCUCCUGGAACAUUACUGACGCUAAGGCGUGAAAGCGUGGGGAGCAAACAGGAUUAGAUACCCGUGUAGUC